CAAAUUAAUCUCCUAUCAAGCGUGAAAUAGAAACGGUGCGACAUAAAAACACGACCCUUCGGCAACCUAAACUGUUAAAACCCCUUCGCUUCCAUUCCUCUCCUCUCUGCCCUUUUCUUUCGUCAUUGGCACUCUCAUAAAUCAACAGAUAUAUUUUCAUAAUUCCAUGGUUCUCCACCUUUUUCCUCUGAUCAACAUUCAAUUAUUAAAUUUGAAAGAAUAGGUUAAAUUACCGCACGGCUGCCCCAUAGUAAUAGGAAAACAGAGAACGCAAUCGUUUCACAAUUCUCUUAAAAUCGAUUCAACUCAAGAUUUUGACAUCUUCAAUUCCGAUUACACCAAAUACAAAGAAGACAUCAACAGAGUAGAAGAAUUCAACCCGACAACCGUUGAUUUUCAAUUCCUGUUUCACUCGAGGAGAAGAAGUUUAUUGGUGAGAUUUGAGAAAGGUCUAAAGGUACAAAUAUUUCUUCUCUCUCAUCAUUGCGCUUAAUUAUAUUGGUUUUCCAUAAUGAUCAUCGGAGUGUACAGGUUCUCUACCGGUAUUCAGAUACCUAAAGUGGGAAAAAAUUAUAGGUUUUCUAAUAACUUUAGAAGAAGAAAUAUAUAACUCUACAAUGGCCACGUCGAGGAUGCUCUUACACUGCCAAAGUACGCUUCUGAAAGGAAAAGGAUAGGUGAUGGGUAAGGAGAAGCGACAAGAACGGAAAGGGAAAAAACAAAAGGGAAGGAAGAAAUUGGAAGAAAAUGAAGAACCUAAAACAAUAUUAGAACGAGGAGCAAGAACCAAAUUGGAAUCAACACACAAAAGUGUAUUUGUUUCACAGACUGAGCACAUAUAUUGUUAUAUUAUCAAUUAGAUCCCUUUUAAAAACAUUCAGAGGAAUUUUUAAGAAUAAGAAGCAAGAGCUAUUUAAAGCUAACACGAGCUUAUAUUUAUUUCCCUGUCUCAAUUUUGGACAAUUUUUUUAGAAUGUUUUGCUGGAGAUUUCAAAAAAUAAUUUGAGUUUGAAUAGUUUAGGUUUUACCAAACAAUAAUGAAUUUUAUUUAUUUGGAACG